rnacentral:rRNA from 1 species
AGACGGCAUACGAGAUGUGACUGGAGUUCAGACGUGUGCUCUUCCGAUCUCUCCACCCAGACUCAUCCAUCUUAGCGGUAAUAGAGAGUUUCUGUUGGUGCUGAUAUCACUGCCCGGACUCCUACGGGAGGCUGCAGUAACGAAUAUUCCACAAUGCGCGAAAGCGUGAUGGAGCGAUGCCGCGUGCAGGAUGAAGCCCUUCGGGGUGUAAACUGCUGUCAGGGAUUACCAACACAAUGAGGAAUCCCAGAGGAAGAGGCGGCUAACUCUGUGCCAGCAGCCGCGGUAAUACAGAGGCCUCGAGCGUUAAUCGGAAUUACUGGGCUUAAAGGGUGCGUAGGCGGAGCGAUAAGUGCCUUGUGAAAUCCCAUGGCUCAACCAUGGAAUUGCUCGGUAGACUAUCGUUCUUGAGGUAGGUAGGGGUCACUGGAACUCUAGGUGGAGCGGUGAAAUGCGUAGAUAUCUAGAGGAACGCCGAUGGUGAAGACAGGUGACUGGGCCUAUUCUGACGCUGAUGCACGAAAGCGUGGGGAGCAAACGGGAUUAGAUACCCCGGUAGUCCACGCCCUAAACUAUGUGUACUGGAUCGCAGAGACUAAUACGUCAUUGUGGUCGAAGUAAAAACGUUAAGUACACCGCCUGGGGAGUACGGUCGCAAGGCUAAAACUCAAAGAAAUUGACGGGGGCUCACACAAGCGGUGGAGCAUGUGGCUUAAUUCGAUCAACGCGAAGAACCUUAUCCUGGGCUUGACAUGUAUGGAUUAGCAGGCGGAAACGUCUGUGAGGCUCUUUGAGUACAACAUACACAGGUGCUGCAUGGCUGUCGUCAGCUCGUGCUGUGAAGUGUCGGGUUAAGUCCCUUAACGAGCGAAACCCCUGUCGCUAGUUGCCACCAGGUAAUGCUGAGCACUCUAGCGAGACUGCCGGUGUCAAACCGGAGGAAGGUGGGGAUGACGUCAAGUCCUCAUGGCCUUUAUGCCCAGGGCUGCACACGUGCUACAAUGGUGCGGUACAAAGCGAAGCGAGACCGUAAGGUGGAGCAAAUCGCAUAAAACGCACCCCAGUUCAGAUUGAGGUCUGCAACUCGACCUCAUGAAGUUGGAAUCGCUAGUAAUCGCGGAUCAGCUACGCCGCGGUGAAUGUGUUCCUGAGCCUUGUACACACCGCCCGUCAAGUCAUGGGAGCCGGGAGCACCCGAAGCCGCCACAAUUCAGUGGUGUCUACGGUGAGCUCGGUGACUGGGACUAAGUCGAAACAAGGUAGCCGUAGGGGAACCUGCGGCUG